GUUAAAACGCUCGUAGUCGGAUUUCGGGGCGGGACGACCGGUCUGCCGAUGGGUAUGCACUGGUCGGCGCGUCCUUCCUUCCGGAGACCGUGCCUACUCUUAACUGAGCGGGGACGGGAGACGGAUCGUUUACUUUGAAAAAAUCAGAGUGUUUCAAGCAGGCAACUCGCUUUGCAUGGAUUAGCAUGGGAUAAUGAAAUAGGACUUUGGUGCUAUUUUGUUGGUUUCGAACACCGAAGUAAUGAUUAAUAGGGACAGUCAGGGGCACUCGUAUUCCGCCGAGAGAGGUGAAAUUCUCAGACCAGCGGAAGACGAACCACUGCGAAAGCAUUUGCCAGGGAUGUUUUCACUGAUCAAGAACGAAAGUUAGGGGAUCGAAGACGAUCAGAUACCGUCGUAGUCUUAACCAUAAACCAUGCCGACUAGGGAUCGGAGGAUGUUCACUAAUUGACUCCUUCGGCACCUUACGGGAAACUAAAGUCUUUGGGUUCCGGGGGGAGUAUGGUCGCAAGGCUGAAACUUAAAGGAAUUGACGGAAGGGCACCACCAGGCGUGGAGCCUGCGGCUUAAUUUGACUC
rnacentral:rRNA from 1 species